CAGUCGAGCGGUAACUAGUUAUCUGUUGCUUCUUUGGACAAUAGCGGCGUCGAGCGGCGUACGGGUGAGUGUGUCUACGAAAUUGCCCUGAUGUGGGGGAUAACCAUUGGAAACAAUGGCUAAUCCCGCAUGAGGCCUACGGGGCACCUAGGGGGACCUUCCGGCCUCUCGCGUCCGGAUGUGAUUAGGUGGUAUUAGCUGGUUCGUGACGUAAGGGCUCCCCAAUCUCACUAUCCCUAGAUGGUCUGAAAGGACGCUCAGCCACACUGGAACUGAAAAACCGUCCAGACUCCUACGGGAGGCAAUAUUGGGCAAUAUGGGAAACUGGGCGCAAGCCUGAUGCCGCGUGUGCGCAUGGGUGAAGAAGGCCUUCGGGUUGUAAAGCACUUUCAGUCGUGAGGAAGGAAGAGUUGUUAAUAGCUGCAUUAUUUGACGUUAACGACCCAAGAAACACCGGCUAACUC
rnacentral:rRNA from 1 species